rnacentral:rRNA from 1 species
UGGGGAAUAUUGCACAAUGGGCGCAAGCCUGAUGCAGCCAUGCCGCGUGUAUGAAGAAGGCCUUCGGGUUGUAAAGUACUUUCAGCGGGGAGGAAGGGAGUAAAGUUAAUACCUUUGCUCAUUGACGUUACCCGCAGAAGAAGCACCGGCUAACUCCGUGCCAGCAGCCGCGGUCAUACGGAGGGUGCAAGCGUUAAUCGGAAUUACUGGGCGUAAAGCGCACGCAGGCGGUUUGUUAAGUCAGAUGUGAAAUCCCCGGGCUCAACCUGGGAACUGCAUCUGAUACUGGCAAGCUUGAGUCUCGUAGAGGGGGGUAGAAUUCCAGGUGGAGCGGUGAAAUGCGUAGAGAUCUGGAGGAAUACCGGUGGCGAAGGCGGCCCCCUGGACGAAGACUGACGCUCAGGUGCGAAAGCGUGGGGAGCAAACAGG